CAGAUUAUCAAGAAGAAGAUAAAUAAAUAUUGCAGUUUUAUUUUCAAAUCCAGUACAAGAGAAUUAUCAUAAAUUCAACUGAGCCACUGUCAUACGAUAUUGUUCAUUGCGAAGGAAAUUCAAAAUAUUAUUCAAACAAUUUACGAUAAAUAAUUAAAAUUAUAUUUAACAAUAAUAUCAGCAUGGGUCAUACAGACAUCAAACGCUCAACUGUCAAGAGCCCAUAUCAAGAAAUCAAAAAAGAUAAACGAACUUCAAGUGAUCGUCAAUUGCCAAUAAAUCAAUCAAAAUUAUCUGGAAAAAAUGAUAAAAAUAAUUCUUGGGGUUCAGUCUACAAGAACAAACAAAAUUUCAUUGACAUGCAUCUGUGCUGAUUAGUUAUUUUUAAACAAUAUGGGAAUCUUUUUAAUGAACCUGGCAAUUACAAUGGAACUUUUAAUAAACAUUCAACUCGUCAAAACUAACAAACAAUAUAUCAUGAAAAAUAUAUUUAUCUAACAAUUAAAUUGAUUCUCGUGCAACAUUGUUUCUUGCAAAUUUAAAUUCUACCAUAUGAUGAUCCAUCAAUUCAACAAUUAAAUUUUUUUAAUAUUCGAAAAUCAUGUUGUAAGAAACAAUGGACUGACUAUUGACAGUGGCUCAGUAAUAAUUAAAUAAGAAAUGUUUAUAAAUUUACAGCAAUAUUUAAAUUAUUUAAUCAAUUUUUUUCUCAUUCAAUCUCUCGAUAUUUUGAUUGUACUUUUCGUGUAUUUAUUUUAACGUCAGGCCGAGUAAAUCAUUUUAAAAAAAAUAUAAUUAAUAAUAUUAAUCAUUGAAAAUACUCACACAAUUAUAUAUCUAUUAAAAAAAAAAUGGGCUAAUUAUUUUGGGAUAAAUUAUAUUUGUUAUUUUUUCGGUAAUUUAAUUUUCCGAAUUGUUUUUCUUAAAGUGACAAAUGAAUAAUAAAGGUGAUGGUUUUUUUAUGGACUUGUUAUCCAAAUAAAAAGGGUAAAAAUGAUCGUAACUUCCUGAAGUACUUUUUUUAUUAUUUAUUUUUAUUUUUUUUUAGGUAAUUUGAGGUAUAACGGAAGAGGAAAAGAAAUAAUAUACCAAGAACAACAACAAAAUGAUGAAGAAAAGACAUAAAAAAAAAGGGUUUCAGAAAAUGAAAUUAAUGAUAUUAAAAAAAUAUAUAAUGACUUUGGUGGUUUUUUAAAUAUUUGAUGGGGAGAAAUUUGAGAUGAAAUGUUUCUUUCUUUUUUUUUUUUUUGAGAAAAUUAGUGCAGUGGGUACAUAGAGUUCCGGCGGAUACGAAAAUUUAAACAUAAAGUGUCAACCUCAUUGAGGUCGAUGAACUAAAAU